rnacentral:rRNA from 1 species
UUUUUAAAAAACAUCGCUCCCCGUUAUAAGUAGAUGAGGAGUCGGACCUGCCCAGUGAAUUUUUAACGGCCGCGGUACUCUGACCGUGCAAAGGUAGCAUAAUAAUUUGCCUUAUAAUUGAAGGCUGGUAUGAAUGGUUUGACGAGAAUAAAGCUGUCUCUUUGCAACUUUGUAGAAAUUUAUUUGCGGAUGAAAAAGUCCGCAUAUUAUUAAAAGACAAGAAGACCCUAUCGAGCUUUAAAGAAUUUAAUAGAACAAGGAGAACCAAUUGAAACUUAAAAGGUCAGUCUGUUAAAAAUUUUAGUUGGGGCGACUGAGGAACAAAAGAAGCUUCCUUAAAACAUAAGUUUGCUUGUCAGCCUUGAUCCAGAAGUUUCUGAUUAAUAGAAUUAGUUACCGUAGGGAUAACAGCAUUAUCUUUUUUGAGAGCUCUUAUCGAAAAAAAGGUUUGUGACCUCGAUGUUGGACCAGAAUGUCCUGAAGAUGCAGCAGUCUUCGAGGGUUGGUCUGUUCGACCAUUAAUAUUCUACGUGAUCUAGUUCC